rnacentral:SRP_RNA from 1 species
ACCAGCCGGGAAGGCAGCGGUGUCCUGUACCUGAAGUCCGCUACAGCAGGGGUUGAUUCCUCUUCUGAGGGGGCGGUGCGUGUGGCCUGCGGCCUGCGCCUUUUUGUUGACGAUCGGGUCUUACGCAAUCGCGCGUUGCGAACCAUGUCAGGUGGGGAACCAAGCAGCAUUAAGCAAAUUGCGCGGUGUGUUGUAAGGGUGCCUGCUCCGAGAAAGGGCGGCGGU